GACAGAGGUCCCGAGCGUUAGACGGAAUCACUGGGCUUAAAGCGUGUGUAGGCGGAAGGGUAAGUACCUUGUGAAAUCCCACGGCUCAACCGUGGAACUGCUUGGUAUACUGCUUUUCUUGAGCCACUUAGGGGCAACCGGAACAAAUGGUGGAGCGGUGAAAUGCGUAGAUAUCAUUUGGAACGCCAAUGGUGAAAACAGCUCGCUGGGGGUGCACUGACACUGAGACACGAAAGCCAGGGGAGCGAACGGG
rnacentral:rRNA from 1 species